GACGAGUACGGAACAACAUGAGGGAUCCAGGACAAGCCAAUGCAGAGAGGCAGAAGGUAGCACUAGAGCUACCAGACGCUGGAAAAGGUGUAUCUAAGUCAUACGUAGUGCAGGCACUUAUGGCGGCCAGAUGACGACAACGGAUGCCCUGGAGCUGGAGUUACAGGAGCUGUGCAAUGUGAGCAUGGUGUGGGUAAUGGGAACCAAACUUGGGUCCUCUGGAAGAACCGUACCCACUCUGCCACGGCAUCUCUCCCACCCCUCAGGAAAAUUCUUCUGGUAAAGCAAAUUGUCUUUUGCACUUGAAGAACCUACAAUGUUUUAGAACAUUUUACCUGAACAAAUUUAGUACCUAAUCUCCUCUGAUCCCUGAGGUUUUCUUUUCCUAACAAUCUAUUUAAAUACA